CUGGUUGAUCCUACCAAUAGUCAUAUGAUUGCCUCAAAGAUUAAGCCAUGCAUGUGUAAGUAUGAACUGAUUCAGACUGUGAAACUAUGAAUGGCUCAUUAAAUCAGUUAUAGUUUGUUUGAUGGUAUCUGCUACUCGAAAAACAGUUGUAAUUCUAGAGCUAAUACGUGCAACCAACCCCGAGUUCUGGAAGGGAUGCAUUUAUUAGAUAAAAGGUCAACGCGGGCUCUGCCCGUUUCUUCGAUGACUCAUGAUAACUCGAUGGAUAGUACGACCAUCGUACCGGCGAUGCAUCAUUCAAAAUUCUGCCCUAUCAAUUUUUGAUGGUAGGAUUGUGGCCUACAAUGGUGGUGACGGGUGACAGAAAAUUAGGGUUCAAUUCCAGAGAGGGAGCCUGAGAAAUGGCUACCACAUCCAAGGAAGACAGCAGGCGCACAAAUUAACCAAUCCUGACACGGGGAGGUAAUGACAAUAAAUAACAAUACCGGGCUCUACACAGAUCUUUAAAGACAUGGAUUUGAACCUCAAUCAGAGAUGGAUGUAGAUGAUUAAGGACUAUGAUUAUGCCAAUGAAUACU
rnacentral:ncRNA from 1 species